rnacentral:tRNA from 1 species
CCUGGCAAGUUUAUAUAUUAUAAAUAUUAAAUUGUGGAUUUAAAGAGGAAAUAUCGCUAGGUA